GCCUUCGUGGUGUAGUGGUUCUGCACGCUGAACCAGUAUUCCAGAGUUCCGAGGUUCGAUUCCCGGCGAAGGCA
rnacentral:tRNA from 1 species